UUAAAAAUUUAAAAGAAAGAUUAAGAAAAGAUUGGAAUUGAAUUACUUACCCCAAAGAUAUACACUAAACCAUUACAAUAACAAGCAGAAUGUCCCCAUCUUUCAGAAGGAUUAGCACCCAUCACUUUUGGAUAUACCCACAAAGCCUUCUUAUUGCUAUUUGCAAUUUCACCACCACCCAAAGAACCCAUUUUGGUUUUUGUUUUCUUUUAGUUUCUGAUUUUUUUUUUGGACUUUGUA